rnacentral:misc_RNA from 1 species
AAGUCGUAACAAGGUAUCCGUAGGUGAACCUGCGGAUGGAUCAUUAAACUAAAUCCAAGUAUCAACCAACCGUGCACUUGUUUCUUGGAGAUGCGUUCUUGGUUAAAAUUGGCGUAUUAGUCCAGUAAGAGCGGGACGACGUCGCUGUUUCGGCAGCUUCUGACUUCUCUGAAAAACAGCAAUACGACAAUAGGCCUAAACAAUUCUUCAUAUUUUUUAACCCAUUGUACUAUCUUCCUGAAUAUAUUCUUCUUUGUCGCGGCCUAACGGCGGACUUUCUUAUCUAAGAAAUUUAAGCACAACUCUUAACAAUGGAUAUCUAGGCUCUC